CCUACGGGGAGCAGCAGUGAGGAAUAUUGGUCAAUGGGCGUAAGCCUGAACCAGCCAAGUCGCGUGAGGGAUGACGGUUCUAUGGAUUGUAAACUUCUUUUAUAAGGGAAUAAAGUGAGGGACGUGUCCCGUUUUGUAUGUACUUUAUGAAUAAGGAUCGGCUAACUCCGUGCCAGCAGCCGCGGUAAUACGGAGGAUCCGAGCGUUAUCCGGAUUUAUUGGGUUUAAAGGGUGCGUAGGCGGCUUGUUAAGUCAGCUGUGAAAGUCUGUGGCUCAACCAUAGAAUUGCGGUUGAAACUGGGAGGCUUGAGUAUAGUUGAGGUAGGCGGAAUUCGUGGUGUAGCGGUGAAAUGCUUAGAUAUCACGCAGAACUCCGAUUGCGAAGGCAGCUUACUAAACCGUCACUGACACUGAUGCUCGAAAGCGUGGGGAUCAAACAGGAUUAGAUACCCUAGUAGUC
rnacentral:rRNA from 1 species